AGUGAAACAAGCAUUUGAAAAUUCCGUGAGAUAUCGAUAUGCUGAUUGGAUGUUGCGUAUAAGGAAACCAAUUUUUAAAAAACACCAAACAAGAGAAGCUCGCUACAAGAACCCACCUUCUUUCAUUCCUAUUAAUGUGUGGAAAGAAAUGGUAGAUAAGUGGAUGGGAGCUAAUUGGCAGAACAAAAGUGACAAAAAUAAGGUUAAUCGAUCACAAUCGCAAAUAAUCCACACUACUGGUAGAGUUUCGAUGGCUAAACAUAGGAGUGAUAUGGUUAAAGAGACCGGUUCAGAACUAGGCCCAAUUGAUUGUUUCAAAAAAUUUCAUACAAAAAAAGAUGGAGAGACUUGGCCUGCUGAGAAA